GUUUUUGCUUUCUUGAUACCAUUUGUUCCUCAACAAAGGAAACCUAAUCACUCAGAACUCUGAGAAACACUGAUCACUAAAUAGGUCAAAAACAUCCUGCAAGAGAUGAAAGCAUUCAGAAGUUUUGCAGAAGAUUUUGCUGAAGUUUGAGAAUAUUUUGGAUUUGGUGUUUUUGAAAACAUUUUCUGGAAAACAAUGGGAUACAACGUGCCAAAGUUGGAACACCUUGAGAAAAAUAAAUGCAACAAUACGAAAAUAAAAACAAUCCAAUAAAAAAUGAGCAAAGAAUAUGGAAAGAUAGUUCUCAGAAAAAAUGAGGACACUGAGGCCCAGGAAGGCUAAGAACCAGCUGAAGUCCUCCCAGAAGUAAGGGAUGGAACUGAAAUAUUACCCCAGGUGGUCCAAGUCAGAUGCACUGCCACCUGGCAACUAAACAUUAAUAAUGCCACUUGUUAGGAGACACAGUUGUGAUUAUUCACUCUUGACAGUCAAAAUAAUUAUAACAAAAGUAAUUUUUCCAGUGACAUUAUCUUAUAAGACUUUACAGAUGACAUUCAAACGGAACCACCGGAGAUGUAUCAGAUCAGUAAUCAGGAGAUAUGGAUGUUAACCAGCUCUACGUUUUCUUUUAAAAUCCAAACCUAUCACAUAACUUAAGUUGCCUGGAUUAUCACAAGUCCUCCAGCAUUUUGGGGUCACCCUUCUCUAUAAAGCCAAGUCAAAUGGUUUGUGUAUGCACCUCAGAUCAUAAGAGGAUCUCACUCACUUUUCCCUAUUCCAAAGGCCAUAUUUCUAAUGCAUUUAGGACAGCAGGGGACAGGGGUUGUUUCCCGUCUGCUCCUACAUCAGGCCACCAGAAAGCCACUUCUGGACUGUUGCCAUACAUCUAUGCAUGCUGUAUUCUCAGCCUUCAUCCCUUACUGAUGGUCACUGCCAUGGGCUUGGGAACUGGCCCCCUCUUCCCUUAUCCUACCCAAGCACCAUUAACACAGUAACAGACCAUUUCAGGUACCGUCAAGAAUAUAUAAAACAAGACAGAAAGGACUUCACGUCAAUGAAGCAUACAGCUACUCUAAGAAGACUAGAUGCAGCAAGAUAACCUGCCUCUAGAAAGCGGCUGAACCUCUUCCCCACAGUAGUGGAGUGAAUGUGGCCUUUGGAGCCCAGCAGAUUGAAAUCAAUCCAGGUUUCAGACAAAGGGUCCUGGGAAUAAAAGAUGCCACAUUUUGUAAGAGAAACCCUAGAUGACCAGAGCAUCUGAGAGAUGAGCAAAAAAACAUCUCCUGAAAAGCCAAGGGAAGGUGCCAGCCUCACAGGUUUUGGGGGUUGGUGAAAAGGAAGCAGACAUUCUGCGGGCAGUUUGGUCAUCUACCUGGAGGCUUCAAGUUCUGCACAUGCCUUGACCGACCUGGCGAUUUUCCUUCUAGAAAUGUAUUCUAAAGAAAUCAUUGUGACCGCACCAGUGAUGUAGCAAAGAACAUUCACUACAGUAUUUUUUAAAAUACUGACAAAUUAGAAAUAAGGUGUCUAACAAUGCUGGCGAUGUUAAAUCAACUAUGGUACAUCCAUUAAAGAAAAUAAUAUGCAGCCUUUUAUAA